rnacentral:rRNA from 1 species
CUACGGGUCGCAGCAGUGGGGAAUAUUGCACAAUGGACGAAAGUCUGAUGCAGCAACGCCGCGUGGAGGAUGACACAUUUCGGUGCGUAAACUCCUUUUAUAUAGGAAGAUAAUGACGGUACUAUAUGAAUAAGCGCCGGCUAACUCCGUGCCAGCAGCCGCGGUAAUACGGAGGGCGCAAGCGUUACUCGGAAUCACUGGGCGUAAAGAGCGUGUAGGCGGAUAGAUAAGUCAGGAGUGAAAUCCUAUGGCUCAACCAUAGAACUGCUCUUGAAACUGUCUAUCUAGAAUAUGGGAGAGGUAGAUGGAAUUUCUGGUGUAGGGGUAAAAUCCGUAGAGAUCAGAAGGAAUACCGAUUGCGAAGGCGAUCUACUGGAACAUUAUUGACGCUGAGACGCGAAAGCGUGGGGAGCAAACAGGAUUAGAUACCCGAGUAGUC